rnacentral:rRNA from 1 species
UUUAACAUAAGAGUUUGAUCCUGGCUCAGGAUGAACGCUGGCGGCGUGCUUAACACAUGCAAGUCGAACGAAGAUAUUAAGAAUGAGAGCUUCGGCAGGAUUUCUUUCU